UACGGAGGGAGCUAGCGUUGUUCGGAAUUACUGGGCGUAAAGCGCACGUAGGCGGCUUUGUAAGUUAGAGGUGAAAGCCCGGGGCUCAACUCCGGAAACUGCCUUUAAGACUGCAUCGCUUGAAUCCGGGAGAGGUGAGUGGAAUUCCGAGUGUAGAGGUGAAAUUCGUAGAUAUUCGGAAGAACACCAGUGGCGAAGGCGGCUCACUGGUCCGGUACUGACGCUGAGGUGCGAAAGCGUGGGGGAGCAAAACAGG
rnacentral:rRNA from 1 species